GGAGCGUUUCUAGAGCUCGGAGGCUGCUGGUAGGGGGGCACCACUUUCAGAUAAAAACAUAGACCUGAAUGGCAUCAUCCAGUAUCCAAGGAAACCAUGUUCUCUAAACAUGAGUAUGCCUUUGGGGGAAGACAGAAGAACAUGGAAGCCAUGUGAAAAAAAUGGAUCCUAAGGCAGUUUUGAACAUCUGGAGGCCUGAUUUAUUGGAGAUUGCAAAUGUACGGUGUAACAUAGCUGUGGAGAGAUCUCACAUGAGAUGGCAAAGAGGUCAAGACAAAAAUUCUGCAUUUGGGAAAAGAAUAACACAUGGACUUCCUUCUACAG
rnacentral:antisense_RNA from 1 species